ACCUCUAAAAUGUACUCACCCUGACCUCCAGUGUGUAACCUGUAGGUGUGGCUAGUAUUUCAGCAUUAAGCAAGCUCUGCUUUGUAAACUUGUCACAAUGACAUUCAGAACACGAGCACAUCAGCCCGGUCGCUCACAGCUCUAUGAAAUAUGUUCUGUCGGAUUUUGACAUGGAACAUGGGUGUGUGCCUUCUGACGUCAAUAUAUAUAUAUAUAUUUCACAAAUGCAUGCUGUUUAUCGUCUGCAUAGAGAUAGAGUAGCAUAGAGACCCCUCCCGGUGUCAAAUAGAGUAUCCAGGAAUUAAUGUUGCGUAUCAAUCACCAGGGGUUUUAUAAUCCGAUUUUGCGCUGCUGACGUAGGCUAUUCAAGUUAAAAAAAAUGUUUUUUUUUACAUCGUACCGCAGUGUCUGUAAAAUUCCUUUAAUGUCGUGUCCACCAAUUGAAUUCAUCUAAGCCUUUCUCGCCAGCCUUCCUCCCCAAUACCCCUUCUCUAUCGCUCUAUUUUUAGAGCGCACUGUAAUCCCUCCCCCUCUCCAUUUUCCUCCCUCUCCAGCUCUAUUUACCUAUUUUAUGGCACGCAGUCAAAGGCAGAGAGCAAGCUCUGUUCAAAUCAAAUCACGUUUUUUUGUCACAUGCGCCGGAUAGAACUUUACCAUGAAAUGCUUACUUAUGAGCCCUUUCCCAACGAUGCAGAGUAAUAAAAAAAACCCACAAGGAAUAAAAUACACAAGAAUGAAGCUAUAUACAGGGAGUACCAGUAGUAUAUCAAUGAGGCAGAUGAAAAUGCGCAGCGCUCCGUUUUUAGGUCAGUGGGACACGGAAUGGCGCUCUCUCUCUCUCCCUUCUUUUGAUCGACGAGUGGAAACAUUGUGACCUUCCUGACAUUCUAGUUUUCAGUUUUCCCUCGCAACUUUGUUUUUAAAACAUACUACACCCUCUAGUAUUGUGUCUGGGUGAAAACCGAGACAGAGGAAGAGAUGGCUCAUCUGGUGGCUGUGGUGAUUCUUUAGGGGAAAGAAAGAGCAGAGCAAAAUAGGAGGGAAUUCCUAGCUGUCUGUCUCUCACUGUGAAAAAAAGACAGAGAAAAGUGUCCUGGAAGGUGUAACCACUAAAACUAUUAUGCAAAUGAGGAAAUGAGGAAGGGAGCUGCCACUGUGAGAAAGAUAUACUGUAAACUAGUAUUAUUAUGUAAUAAAAUGGUCAUACUCUAGAUUGUUAUGAUGAGGUUGAAGCUAGGUCAAGUUGUUAUGAUGAGGUUGAGACUAGAUCUAUAUUGUUAUGAGGUUGAGACUAGGUCAGGUUGUUAUGACAAGGUUGAGACUAGGGUCUAGGUUGUUAUGAUGUGGUUGAUACCAGGUCAGGUUGUUAUGAUGAGGUUGAGACUAGGGUCUAGGUUGUUAUGAUGUGGUUGAUACUAGGUCAGGUUGUUAUGAUGAGGUUGAGACUAGAUCUAUAUUGUUAUGAGAG
rnacentral:lncRNA from 1 species